GUGCUCGAGUGGCGAACGGGUGAGUAACACGUGAGUAACCUGCCCUUGACUUUGGGAUAACUUCAGGAAACUGGGGCUAAUACCGGAUAGGAGCUCCUGCUGCAUGGUGGGGGUUGGAAAGUUUCGGCGGUUGGGGAUGGACUCGCGGCUUAUCAGCUUGUUGGUGGGGUAGUGGCUUACCAAGGCUUUGACGGGUAGCCGGCCUGAGAGGGUGACCGGCCACAUUGGGACUGAGAUACGGCCCAG
rnacentral:rRNA from 1 species